UACGUAGGUGGCAAGCGUUGUCCGGAAUUAUUGGGCGUAAAGCGCGCGUAGGCGGGAGAGUAAGUCUGUUGUUUAAAUUCGGGGCUCAACCCCGUCAAGCAAUGGAAACUGCUUUUCUUGAGUGCAGGAGAGGAAAGGGGAAUUCCCAGUGUAGCGGUGAAAUGCGUAGAUAUUGGGAGGAACACCAGUGGCGAAGGCGCCUUUCUGGACUGUGUCUGACGCUGAGGAGCGAAAGCCAGGGGAGCAAACGGG
rnacentral:rRNA from 1 species